GAGGGUGCAAGCGUUAAUCGGAAUUACUGGGCGUAAAGCGUGCGUAGGCGGCCUGUUAAGUCAGAUGUGAAAKCCCUGGGCUCAACCUGGGAACKGCAUUUGAAACUGGCARGCUAGAGUUAGGUAGAGGGAAGUGGAAUUYCAGGUGUAGCGGUGAAAUGCGUAGAUAUCUGAAGGAACACCAGUGGCGAAGGCGGCUUCCUGGACCMAAACUGACGCUGAGGUACGAAAGCGUGGGUAGCAAACAGGAUUARAUACCCUGGUAGUCCACGCCGUAAACGAUGWCGACUAGCCGUUGGGCUCUUAAAGASUUUAGUGCCGCAGCUAACGCAUUAAGYMKACCGCCUGGGGAGUACGGCCGCAAGGYUAAAACUCAAAKGAAUUGACGGGGGCCCGCACAAGCGGUGGAGCAUGUGGUUUAAUUCGA
rnacentral:rRNA from 1 species